rnacentral:rRNA from 1 species
UACGUAGGUGGCGAGCGUUGUCCGGAUUUACUGGGCGUCAAGGGAGCGUAGGCGGACUUUUAAGUGAGAUGUGAAAUACUCGGGCUCAACUUGAGUGCUGCAUUUCAAACUGGAAGUCUAGAGUGCAGGAGAGGAGAAUGGAAUUCCUAGUGUAGCGGUGAAAUGCGUAGAGAUUAGGAAGAACACCAGUGGCGAAGGCGAUUCUCUGGACUGUAACUGACGCUGAGGCUCGAAAGCGUGGGGAGCAAACAGG